UACGUAGGGUGCGAGCGUUGUCCGGAAUUACUGGGCGUAAAGAGCUCGUAGGUGGUUUGUCGCGUUGUUCGUGAAAACUCACAGCUUAACUGUGGGCGUGCGGGCGAUACGGGCAGACUGGAGUACUGCAGGGGAGACUGGAAUUCCUGGUGUAGCGGUGGAAUGCGCAGAUAUCAGGAGGAACACCGGUGGCGAAGGCGGGUCUCUGGGCCGAUACUGACGGCUGAGGCGCGAAGGCCAGGGGAGCAAACGGG
rnacentral:rRNA from 1 species